GUAGUCAAUUAUCAAAGCUCCCCAAGAUCAUCAAUCAUGUGAGGAGAUUGAAGUUUAGAGGAGGAGCAACGCUCCGGCCAUCGAUUGCAGUGAAGCCCUUUUUGGAGCCUGGGCACUUUUACGCACAACACAGAAGCAGGCCAUCUAUCCCCUUUAAUAUUUAGCUCCAUCAAUGCUAAUAUGGCAUCAUGGCUGUAUUGACAGGUUCUCACAUAAAGGCUCCAUUUAUGGCUCCGUGACAUUUUUGAUGGUGGAAAUUAAUUAUUCACAGGUUAGGAUUAAGGUAGACACACGCUCAGGGAGAUGGGCUGUGGCUACUGUUGGAGGGUCAAUAAACUCUCCCAACAAACAAAAUACCAAAGCAGAGUUGCUCAGCGUCGAUUACAGAAAAAGCAAAGGGUUUUUUUUUGUUUUUUUUUAAGGAAAAAGAUUUAAUAAAUGAAACCGUGACAACAGUUAUGUUUGUUGGCAUAAAGGGGGGUGGGAAGUGUAGGACUGCAGGGUUUGACAAACGGCUGUGUGGACAUUUCAACGUGCAAUACCCCGGGAAGGAGCUGCAGAGCAGUGCGCAGAGAGCCAAGGCAUUCACCGUCUCCAAGUCUCUCUUACACUCUGUAAACACAACCAGCCCGGCAGACUCUGCUAUUGAAGACUGAUAUUUUCAUAAGCUAAAUACUAUCGUUCACAUUGAUUUGUGCACUAACUGCUUGACUUUUUUUUUUUUUUCCUCCAUCCUCCUCCUUUGGACAAGCACGGAGCUGUGCUGGGCCAUGGCAGCUGUGUGACGCCACCUCCUCAAAGAUGCCCCCUUUUCCUCUGCAAGGCUGACAUCCCACAGGGAGAGGGAUAAACUGGAGAUGCUGCAGAGGAUCUGCUGAGGACAUUGUACCAUAACUCAACACUGAAUACAGUUGUAAUGAUGAGAUGAGACCCCACUGAGCCAAUGAGCUUCAACAAAACUGGCUUGAUUGCCAGGGCUUUAGCGUCAAUGAUCCUGGAAUAACAAGGAGCAUAUUGUACCAUCAGCACAGGGCUGCAGAGCCAGGCCUGUUCCAGGUUAACAGGCUCUCAGAUGCUUGGGCUCAAUGAUGGAGGUAAUGACAUUCUCAUGAUCCAGCAGUACAGGUGAAUAGGUAACCAUAUGGACAGAGGGAGGCUAAAGAGAGGCAGAAAACUGUGGAGCAGAACAACUGAACAUCUUAUAGAUUUAAAUAAUGGGUAAAAUUACCUUGUGAUUAGAAAUAAUGGGGGUGAUAUAGUCAUAAAUCACAGAAAAUGAUGAAAGGUUCUUAAAUAUAAUAUUCUACUCAAGGUCACAAGGUAAACGCACAAACUAUAAAGUUAAACAAAAACCAUGUUAUUUUGAUCACGAGUAACUCAUUCUGAAAGAUUAACAACCAUAAAUACGCUUUGAAUUUGUGUCUAUGAGGCACAUGUACAGUAUCAGCUUGCAAGCAAGUCAUUAUCACAGUGAGACCACUGACGUUGCUAUGCAUCCCUGUCAAUAUUUUGAGAGGCGCUGCAGUACUUUGCACAACUCUAUAUGAAGUGGAUUGACACUCUUAUCAAGCAUGGCAAAUCCAUUUCUUGUAAUUUCCGCUGUAAAGACACCUUGUCAGCCUCUCCCUGCCAGAUGCCACAGGAGUGGUGAAUGAGUGAAAAAAUAAUAAUAAUAAUAAUAAUUUUUGAUUAUUAAGAUAUGAUUGACACCGAGACAAAGAGCAGUCAUAGUGCAUUGUGCAUUUGUUUUUAAUUUUCCAAAAGUUUUUAAACACAACAUAUGACAUCUGUCACGGGAGGCCUCUGAUGUGAGGGAGAUGGAAAAAGCACAUGUGGCUCUAUUUCUGGUGUGUUUAUAUAUAGCCUUAUGCAUGUGUGCAUACAUGACUGCUUGCAAAUGUACACAGUAUGCUUACAUAAAUGUAUUAUCUGUAUAUGAUAUUUUGUUGCAUCCAUGGUAAAUAUAGGCAGUUGCCAGUUUAUUAGGUACACCUAGCUGAAAGUAAUGCAGUCUGAUUAGGGUUGCAAAGGGGUGGAAAUUUUCCGGUAAAUUUCCGGAAACUUACAGUUUUGGAAACAUUGAAAUAGGCGAAAAUGGCAAAAUAUUAUUGAAAUGUAAGACUUGCAAUAACGGAAUUACUUGAAAUGUUAGUGUUUCUGUAGAAAAACAUUAUUAUUUCACAUUGAGCUUGUUUAGAUGAGCCACAAACAAUAACAACACAGCUGCUGCACUGGUGGCGUCCAUGUUCUUUCCGACUCGUAAUGCCCAAAGACAAAUGGAACGCUAUAAGUGGUACAAACCAGGUAAUUACGUCACAUUCUCGCGUCAGAGCAACUUGGGCGGGGGAUUUACGAGACAAAUGGAUAGAACCAUAAGUAGUAGCCCAAACCAUUGACCUUUAGCUUAACAUAUGAUGGUAGCUAGCAUGCUGCCUUUGAUUUACUAUGGCUAUGGUUAUGGUUAUAUGCGUACAAUACAAUUAACACAAACAGGUUAAUAGCGAUGGGUUAUGUAUUAACCCCCCCUCCAUAAAAUAGAAAAAACUCCCAUAUUUAAAAAAAUAAAUGUUGGCAAGUAUGUAGUAGCCUAUGCUGAUUACUGCGUGUGUGCAUGUCAUUGACGAAUAUAGGGAGGACAUUAAAGUUGCAUUAAAUCAGGUUGUUCUAAGCAAGAUUAUCCUGCAAGAUGUUUCUUUUCAACUACAUGUAAGUUCCCUGUUAUAGACUAACAGUAUUAUGACAAGCAAUAUUAAAAAUAUCCAGUUUAUUCCCAUUAAUUCCCAUUAAUUCCCAUUAAUUCCCAUUAAUUCCCGUUAAUUCCUGUUAAUUCCCAUAUAUUCCCGUUAAUUCCCAUGGAAUGUUUCCAACUUUGAAAAUUCCCGGAAUUUUGCAACCCUAAGUCUGAUACAACAAUCUUCUAAUAAAUCCUUUCUUCAUGAAGGUUUUAAUGGUCAGUUUUUAUUAAAACUGGUUUAGAGAGGGGUUGAUUCAAUGAGGGUAGGCUAACACCUUUCUGUAUAAUGCAGUACAAUUCAACAUUCUCCAGAAUAACCAUACAGUUAAAUUUGCAAGACUCUUGUAUUAGACUGCAUUAGUUUUAGCUAUGUGUUCCUAAUAAACUGGCAACUGAGUGUACAUGUACCAGGGUUGACAGCGAUUGUGAUAGUACAAAAGAAAGGUAGCAUUAUCAUUGCUUUACAUAUCUGCCUGUCUGCUACCACCACUCAUAAGCUUAGUCCCUGUCGCUAACCGCCCUGGGAGUUCAGAUAAUGUUCCUUGGCUGGCAGAAGACAGGUUGAUAGCUGUCAGGGACAGAAACAGAAUAAAUGACAGGGUUUCAUUGGGGCGCCUCUAAGGCGCAUUAGGGACCUCAGGAUCCCAAUCCCCAAACACGGGAUGAAGAAUCAUUUUGUCACAAAGGCACAGGGUCGCCCAUCACUGUCUAAUGCCUGCCUUGAUUAAUCGUAGGGAUGGAUCAACAUUAUGUCCUAUUCAGGGUGAUGCUUAAUUGCCUCCGCCAUCCAACUCAUCCAUUGCCCUAAUGAUUGUGCGUCUGCUCCCUUGGACACAUGGUUAGUCUGGUGGACUGCAGCUUAGCAGGACAGGACUCCCUUAAACAUCAUCACCAGCUGAGAGCUUACCCUCUCCAGACACCUUUACCUCCCCCUAACCGCAAAUAUGUGGAUAAAUGGAGCUGGCUUCAUCGCCCAUAGCACUGUGUUUAUAUUCUCAGCAGAAUGUCUGCGAGUGUUAAUAUAUGUAGAUUUCAUUUCUGAUGAGUGAUUAUUUGACUGCUCAUUUUGCCUGAGAUUUAUGGCACUCUCUCUAUCUCCUGACUGCAGUGCCACUCUUAUCUUUAAUAAAAGAGAUGAGGACAUUAAUCAGGUUUUGUUGGCGGCCCUUACUAAGACAUUAAAUGUAUUGUAUGGGGUAAGUAAACACGCUUCACAUCCUUCUCUCUCACAGUCGAGAGAGAGAGAGUGAGGGACAGAAAAAGGCGAGCGAGGAGGGAAAAAACCCUCAUUAUAUUUAUCAUAAUUUCACAUCUGCUGUUUUUGAAGCAAUGUACCAUGAGCCCAUAAAGUGUAUUACAACUGUGCAUAAAUUCAACUGAUUUGUGGCUGGAGUAGCUAAUUCCUUGAGUACAUUUUAGAAAAACAAGCACUGAGCCCUGAAAUUGCAAUUCCAUAAAGGCUUUAAAUUACUGAGUACAGAAUCAAGAACUUGCCUGAUGUGCUGCGCAUGGUGACGGUGUUAUAGGGAAAAGCAGCGCUCCCCGAGACAGAGACAAUAAAACCUGAGAUGAGUGAGCCAUAUACUCAAACAAAAUAAAGGAAGAGAAGAUGGGCUGCCUACGUGAUGAAGGGGGAGUGACUAUCACACCCCUGCAUCUCAUUUUACCCUUUUAACCAUGAGGAUGCAUUUGAGAGGACACAUUUCGAUUAUUUUUUUUUCCCUCGCCAUAAUAUCUAUCUCUCCCUACUUCAUAUCUGUGGAAGAGUUAGUGGAUGGAUGCCAGUACUGCAUGAAAAGCCUCAUUCAGAAGCAGUUAAAAUGAAAUGAAUCUCAUCAUUAGCAGAAAGGGGAGGAUGUGUACUGCAGGAUACUCCUCAACAACAUUCGAGAACACGCAUAAAAAAAACAGAGGAACACACAUUCACACCUACAAUAUGAGCUUUUGCAUGUGCACACGCACACGCAGAGUCCGUCAUUCACAGCCUUGAUUCAUUCAUUAUGCCACAAUCAUUACCAGAAAAACACAUUCAAACUUAUGGGAAAUUUACAUUCUCCACUUCAACUGAGUUGUAUGUCUUGGCAAUCGUUUCUCCACAAAUCAAUAAAAA